rnacentral:rRNA from 1 species
CAGCCGCCGCGGGAAUACGGAGGGUGCAAGCGUUAAUCGGGAUUACUGGGCGUAAAGCGCACGCAGGCGGCUUGUUAAGUCAGAUGUGAAAUCCCCGAGCUUAACUUGGGAACUGCAUUUGAAACUGGCAAGCUAGAGUCUUGUAGAGGGGGGUAGAAUUCCAGGUGUAGCGGUGAAAUGCGUAGAGAUCUGGAGGAAUACCGGUGGCGAAGGCGGCCCCCUAGACAAAGACUGACGCUCAGGUGCGAAAGCGUGGGGAGCAAACAGGAUUAGAUACCCGGGUAGUCCCUGUCUCUUAUAC